GCCGACUUUAACCGUUUUCGGUUCGCGUGUGAAAUUUCAAUCCGCGGGCUCAGUAGUGUACUUCAGUUCCCGAGCAAAGCGAGAAAUAUAUCGGUUUACUAUAUUGUUUUUUUUUUUUUUGUAGUUUUCUUAAUAAACCAGAUAAACGGGUAAUUGUUUAAUUGAUUUUUAUCGAUUUCUGGAUUAACCUUGACAACAAGGGAAAAAAUACGACUUGAAAUACUUUGCUCAGAAUCGGUUUUCGG